GUUUUCAUAGUUUAAAAAAAACACUAGAUUGUGAAUCUAAAGCCAGAAAUCAAACCUUUCUUUUAAACC
rnacentral:tRNA from 1 species